rnacentral:rRNA from 1 species
UUACUAAAAUAAAAGUAUGAUAAAUCCUUUACCCGAAUUAAGUUGAUUUACGCUACGUUAAGUACUUUGAUAAAAAUUGAGUAAUGUGGCAUAAUUCCCUUAAAAAUUUAGCGUAGAGACGAAACGUCUACACAACUUAGGAUAACUGGAUUUAGGUGAAAUAUAUAUAGUAUAUAAUUAAAAUACAAUACUUUAACUCUAAGGUUUAAGUAUAUCUAUAAUUAAUGCUUAUAACUCAUACGUUUAUCCCAUAACCAAUAAAUCUUAUAAUAACUAUUUUAGAUGUCAAAAUGAAAAAAAAAUUUCUAAAGCGCCUAACUAAAUUAUUUAAUUAACCCAAUAUUUGUAUAUAAAACAUUUAGAAAAAUCAAAGUAGCCUAAAACAUUAGACUAAACUAAACUAAGCAUGCAUAUAAUGUUAAUAUCAGUAUAUAAAAUAAAUUAAUAUAAGUAACUCGGCAAACACACUCCAUCAACUGUUUAUCAAAAACAUAGCUUCAAGGAAAAAAUUUGUAGUGAAUUCUGCCCAGUGAUAAUAAAAGAUUUUUAUUUAACGGCCGCAGUACUUUGACUGUGCUAAGGUAGCAUAAUAACUUGGCUUGUAAUUGAAGUCUGGAAUGAAUGGAAUAUAUGUAUGGAACGCUGUCUCACAAUUAACUAACUAAAACUUAAUUAUUAGGUGAAAAUACCUAAAAUAAAUAUCUAAGACGAGAAGACCCUUGGAAUUUUCAUAAAUAAUUACUACCUUAGAGCAUAAAAUAAUUCCUAAUAACUUUAGAGACGCAGAUAUUAAAUUCUUAACUAUGAAUUUGAUACCCGUGAUUUUUCAAAAGGCUAUUAACAAAGGGGUCAACCAAACCCUAAUUAUUAAAAACUCUUUGUAAUCAUAUUUUAGUUGGGGCAACAAAGAGUCAUAUAAAUACCUGACACUUAUUCUCAUAUGUGUAAGCAAUCA